AUUGAACGCUGGCGGCAGGCCUAACACAUGCAAGUCGAGCGGUAGCACAGAGAGCUUGCUCUCGGGUGACGAGCGGCGGACGGGUGAGUAAUGUCUGGGAAACUGCCUGAUGGAGGGGGAUAACUACUGGAAACGGUAGCUAAUACCGCAUAACGUCGCAAGACCAAAGUGGGGGACCUUCGGGCCUCAUGCCAUCAGAUGUGCCCAGAUGGGAUUAGCUAGUAGGUGGGGUAACGGCUCACCUAGGCGACGAUCCCUAGCUGGUCUGAGAGGAUGACCAGCCACACUGGAACUGAGACACGGUCCAGACUCCUACGGGAGGCAGCAGUGGGGAAUAUUGCACAAUGGGCGCAAGCCUGAUGCAGCCAUGCCGCGUGUGUGAAGAAGGCCUUCGGGUUGUAAAGCACUUUCAGCGGGGAGGAAGGCG
rnacentral:rRNA from 1 species